AUCAUGUAUUUUCUUAUGGAGUCGCUCUACACGAGCAGGUUCUCCGCUGCUCCGUUUCGUUUCUCUGAAUCAGUUGCCCCGUUCCGUUUCUAUGAAUCAGUUGCCCUAAAUCAGUUCUCUGAUUAUUUUAAUUGACGUCGGCCCCUGCUCCGUUCGCCGCGCCGUCAGCCGGAGUCCCCUGCUGCUGUCUGCCGCCGCUUCUCUCCCCUGCCGGAUCUCCUCUCUCUCUCUCAAAUUUGAAAGUUUAUGCCAAAUUCGAGUUGUCGUUCACCUGCCGGAAUCGCCACAUUCUGAUUCUCCUUUGCUCUCUUGCUUCUCCUUUCCUUCAACAGAAAUUUUCAACAAGGAAGAACUUAAUAGCUUGAAAGUAUUCAGGGAAAUCCACAAAUUUGUGGAAGCCACUCUGCUGAAAAAUGUUCUGGAUCAAAUCUUGCAAGCCCUCUUGCAUUCUCAAGGAAUCAAUCUUCAGGCAGAACCAAUUCGAGGGAAGCUGGGAGAUGGUGUCGUGGGGCAGUGAAAUGACUAAAAGACUUGAUGGGAACUACAGGGGAAUCACAGUUCAGAAUUGAGCUGGAGAUGAUCAGUCUAGCAGUCCAUCGCAAUCUGCUUCGUAUAAUAGGCUACUGCGCCACCCCAAAUGAGAGGUUUCUUGUGUAUCCUUAUAUGUCUAAUGGGAGUGUGGCGGCAAGACUUAGAGGGGAACCGACUCUAGAUUGGACGACGAGGAAGAAGAUUGCAGUGGGAGCUGCAAGGGGGCUGCUGUAUCUCCAUGAGCACUGUGAUACCAAGAUAAUCUACAGGAAUGUGAAGGCUGCAAACGUGCUGCUAGAUGAGCACUAUGAGGCCGUUGUGGGUGAUUUCGGGCUUGCAAAGCUGCUGGAUCAUGGCGAAUCCCAUGUGACUACAACAGUUAUGUUGUUUGAAUUUAUGUUGUGUUGAGUUUGGAUUUAUGUAGUUACUAUGGAGUUAGGAUUUAUGAUACUUGAUAUUUAACUUAAUUUAAAUUUGUAGGUAUAUUGAAUUUGGAUGUUUAUUACAUUAAGUAUGUUUGAAUU